GAUGAACGCUGGCGGCGUGCUUAACACAUGCAAGUCGAACGGAAAGGCCCAAGCUUGCUUGGGUACUCGAGUGGCGAACGGGUGAGUAACACGUGGGUGAUCUGCCCUGCACUUCGGGAUAAGCCUGGGAAACUGGGUCUAAUACCGGAUAGGACCACAUUUUGGAUGGUGUGGUGGAAAGUUUUUCGGUGUGGGAUGAGCUCGCGGCCUAUCAGCUUGUUGGUGGGGUAAUGGCCUACCAAGGCGUCGACGGGUAGCCGGCCUGAGAGGGUGUACGGCCACAUUGGGACUGAGAUACGGCCCAGACUCCUACGGGGGGCAGCAGUGGGGAAUAUUGCACAAUGGGCGCAAGCCUGAUGCAGCGACGCCGCGUGGGGGAUGACGGCCUUCGGGUUGUAAACUCCUUUCGCUAGGGACGAAGCGUUUUUGUGACGGUACCUGGAGAAGAAGCACCGGCUAACUACGUG
rnacentral:rRNA from 1 species